rnacentral:misc_RNA from 1 species
CUGUCCGAACCGGCAGGCACAAAAUAUCCCCCCAAAAUAUAGAGGGUAUGUUCUGUGCCGGCAGGUUGGCAAUAGUGACUGUUUCCUGCGAGUCUUGCGACCAUCUUAUUUUCCGCGUUCCGUUCCAAAGCAAUUGGCUUCUGUGGUUUGUUUUUCUCCUUAGAAAGUGAGUUUAACGGGGUUUUCAGCGCUUCUCAGUCCUAAAAAUCAUGUCGAGUGGACGCAACGAUUGUCGCAUCUAUGUAGGAAACUUACCACCCGAUAUUCGCACCAAAGACAUCCAGGACUUGUUUUACAAAUUUGGAAAAGUCACAUUUGUCGACUUGAAGAACCGACGCGGGCCCCCAUUUGCAUUUGUCGAAUUUGAGGAUCCCAGGGACGCUGACGACGCUGUACAUGCAAGAGAUGGUUAUGACUAUGAUGGGUACCGUUUGAGGGUUGAAUUUCCUAGGGGUGGAGGUAGUGGUGGCAGCGGUGGCAUCAGCAGUGGCGGUCGAGGCGGCGGAGGCUUUAGGGGCGGCGGUCGCGGACGAGCCAACCGGGGGCCUCCUGCCAGAAGAAGCCAAUACAGAGUGUUGGUGACGGGCUUGCCCCCCAGUGGAUCAUGGCAGGAUCUGAAGGAUCACAUGAGAGAAGCUGGAGAUGUAUGUUUUGCCGAUGCAUUUAAAGACGGGUCCGGUGUAGUGGAGUUUCUCCGUUACGAAGACAUGAAGUACGCCAUAAAGAAAUUAGACGAUUCCCGAUUUAGGUCUCAUGAGGGAGAAGUGGCGUAUAUAAGAGUGAGAGAGGACAGAGGGGGAAGCGACAGCCGUCGAUCGGGAGGACGGUCCAGAUCGCGCUCCUUUUCCCCACGAAGACGGGGCUCCCCAACCUACAGCCCUGUGAAGAGGAGUUACUCUAGGAGUCGCUCUCGUUCGUAGAACUCACAGGUUUACCUUUGCGAAGAAAGUUUUUCCUCUGAUAAACUGUAAAAUCGCUUUCAUUUUCGUGAUUUGUAUUGUAGAGUUAAUUUCAACAAAUUAAUUUCAUAAUCUGUAAAGGUAGUUAAAACUUAGUGUACUUUGGUUAAUUUAGGAUUUUUACAAAUUUCAUGCCGGAAUCUAAAUGUGGUUUAACUCAAAUGUAUCUCAUAUGUUUUUUUAGUGAAACUUUCUAUAUUAAUUGACGCAGCGAUGCUUGCAUUCGUUAAGCUACAUUAAUAUUUCGUUAAUUAUUGUGGCGUAUAGAGGAUAAGACACUAAUUUUUAUAUUUUGUUUUUAAUGUUGGGACAAAACAACGUUGGAAAAAAGGAAAAUACUGGAACUAAACGUAAAAAUCGCAAAACGGAUUUUGAAAGAUCUAAAUGGAGGGACAGGACAUAAUAAUGGAUAGUUUUUAAAGGGAAGCGUGCAGAAUUGGAAUUGGCUCCUUGAGGAUUUCACACCUGAAGGAAUAACGAUUUCUUGGGGGGGGAUUAUCAAAUAUUAAAUCAAAAUCCCAGUAACCGCUGGGAUUAACCAUCUAGUUUAACCCGGGAAAUUAGUCAGGAAUUAGCAUCAAUGAUUGGUGGGGUUCGAGAUUUUGAAUACAAUUUUAAUUUCAAAUUUAAUUCUACAACAACUACAUACGUGGUUUUUUUGUUUGUUUUUACAUAAUUUCGAUUUCCUUCUGGAAAUCUCUUGUGGUUAACUUUUUAAGGUGUGCCGAAGGAUUUCUUUCAGGCCCAAUCGUUGAUGUUAAUUACGGCUGGGUUGAACGAGGCAAAACAUUCACUUCAAAGCAACUAACUGGUUCUAAUGGCGAAUCUUGUAUGUUGUUAUUUUUCCUGUGUGUUUUCAACAAUAGGCAAUGAAUCAAUUGGUUAAACUAGUAACAUACGGGAUUCUCUUAAUAGAGCCCUGAGGGUAAAUCGGGUUUAGUUUCUUAAAAUUUGCACAUCAAAGGAUUGGAGUGAAAAAAAUAGGAAAGGAAAGGACCCAACAAGUGUUCUGGACUUCUAAGGGUCUGAAAUCUGGAAAACGAUUCCUGGGAUUUUAUGGAUUCUCAUAUUAAACAUAAGGAUUUAUAAAAGGAUUGCGGAUUCUCUCAAAGGAUUAAAUUUAAAAAAAGUUGGAAUUCUAUGCGAGGAUUUGUUCUGAUCUCUCCUUCGUUUAGGACGCGGCAAUAUUGGAAAUGUCCCCCUUAUUUAGUCUUCUAGGAUUCGCUUUAUGGAUAGUAAGUAGUAAAGGAUUUCAUUCAUACAGAUAGGAUUUCUCGAGGAGACAUGCAACCAACAGGUAUUUUCCUUUUUCUGUGCUUAACUCCGGUAUAUUAACCCGUUUUAUAUGUUCAGCGUGGUACAUUUGUGUUUUUUGCAUGACUUUCCCUUUUUGCUUCAAUAAAAUAUUUCUAGUUU